rnacentral:rRNA from 1 species
GAUGAACGCUGGCGGCGUGCCUAAUACAUGCAAGUCGAGCGAACGGACGAGAAGCUUGCUUCUCUGAUGUUAGCGGCGGACGGGUGAGUAACACGUGGAUAACCUACCUAUAAGACUGGGAUAACUUCGGGAAACCGGAGCUAAUACCGGAUAAUAUUUUGAACCGCAUGGUUCAAAAGUGAAAGACGGUCUUGCUGUCACUUAUAGAUGGAUCCGCGCUGCAUUAGCUAGUUGGUAAGGUAACGGCUUACCAAGGCAACGAUGCAUAGCCGACCUGAGAGGGUGAUCGGCCACACUGGAACUGAGACACGGUCCAGACUCCUACGGGAGGCAGCAGUAGGGAAUCUUCCGCAAUGGGCGUAAGCCUGACGGAGCAACGCCGCGUGAGUGAUGAAGGUCUUCGGAUCGUAAAACUCUGUUAUUAGGGAAGAACAUAUGUGUAAGUAACUGUGCACAUCUUGACGGUACCUAAUCAGAAAGCCACGGCUAACUACGU